AUCGAGCUGAGGAGUCCCACAAUAGGACGAAACGGCCGUCCAAU
rfam:Schistosoma mattheei strain Denwood, Zambia genome assembly, scaffold: SMTD_scaffold0001566